rnacentral:lncRNA from 1 species
AUUGUAAUGGUGAAUCGGGAUUUUUAAUGAAGUGGGUUUGAAUACUCUUGACUGUUUUGUGAAAUCGAGUUACGUUUGUGAUUGAAGGAUUAAAAGGGCAUCUAUAGAAUUGAGUAUGCGGAGUGAAUGAAAUUUAUUGGGUUAAUCUAACAAGACAGUCAGUGGAUACAAGAUCGUAAGUACAAAGUGGUAUUGAAGAUUAACAGUUUGGGUUGUUCGGGGUUCUC